rnacentral:rRNA from 1 species
GACGAACCGUGCGAACGUUGUUCGGAAUUACUGGGCGUAAAGCGUGCGCAGGCGGUUUUGUAAGCCAGAUGUGAAAUCCCCGGGCUCAACCUGGGAAUGGCAUUUGGGACUGCAAGGCUUGAGUGCGGCAGAGGAGACUGGAAUUCCUGGUGUAGCAGUGAAAUGCGUAGAUAUCAGGAGGAAUACCGAUGGCGAAGGCAGGUCUCUGGGCUGACACUGACGCUCAUGCACGAAAGCGUGGGGAGCAAACAGG